AUGCCAGACUCCUACGGGAGGCAGCAGUGGGGAAUAUUGCCCAAUGGGGGGCCCCCUGAUGCAGCGCCGCCUCGUGGGUUAGGACGUACUUCGGUCUUUCAAGCUCUCUCCUCCGGGAAGAACCUGCCGGUACCUUCCUUCUAAGCCCCUUCUCCCUACGUGCCCGCCUCCGCGGGACUCCUUCGGGGGCACGCUGUAUCCGGAUUGACUGGGUGUAAAGGGAGCGUAGACGGCGAUGCAAGUCAGAAGUGAAAGCCCGCGGAGCAACUGCGGGACUGCUUUUGAAACUGUAUAGCUUGAGUGCAGGAGAGGUAAGCGGAAUUCCUAGUGUAGCGGUGAAAUUCGUAGAGAGGAGGAGGAACACCAGUGGCGAAGGCGGCGUACUGGACUGUAACUGACGUUGAGUCUCGAAAGCGUGGGGAGCAAACAGGAUUAGAUACCCGAGUA
rnacentral:rRNA from 1 species